AGUGGAUGGGGAGCAACCUAGUUGUGCGUGUGUAAAGGUAGUGCCAAGAAAAGCGAUGAUCAUGUUGAAAAUCAAUUCCCGGUACCCGAAACCGACACAGGUGGGCAAGUAGAGAAUACUAAGGGGCGCGAGGUAACUCUCUCCAAGGAACUCGGCAAAAUGACCCCGUAACUUAGGGAGAAGGGGUGCCACCGAGAGGUGGUCGCAGUGAAGAGGCCCAGGCGACUGUUUAGCAAAAACAUAGGUCUCUGCAAACUCGAAAGAUGAGGUAUAGGGGCUGACGCCUGCCCAGUGCCGGAAGGUUAAAGAAGUUGGUCAGUUUUAGGAUGAAGCUAGCGACUGAAGCCCCGGUGAACGGCGGCCGUAACUAUAACGGUCCUAAGGUAGCGAAAUUCCUUGUCGGGUAAGUUCCGACCCGCACGAAACGCGUAACGAUCUGGGCGCUGUCUCGGAGAGAGGCUCGGCGAAAUAGGAUUGUCUGUGAAGAUACGGACUACCUGCAUUUGGACAGAAAGACCCUAUGAAGCUUUACUAUAGCUUGGAAUUGUGUUCGGGCUUCCUGUGCGCAGGAUAGGUGGGAGGCGUAGAAGGUAUUCUUGUGGGGAUACUGGAGCCAACGGUGAGAUACCACUCUCAGGAGGCUAGAAUUCUAGCUUAAUUAAGGACAGUUUCAGGUGGGUAGUUUGACUGGGGCGGUCGCCUCCAAAAAGGUAACGGAGGCGUACAAAGGUUCCCUCAGACUGGUUGGAAAUCAGUCGAAGAGUGCAAAGGCAGAAGGGAGCUUGACUGCGAGAAGUACAGUUCGAGCAGGGUGGAAACACGGUCUUAGUGAUCCGACGGUGCUGUGUGGAAGGGCCGUCGCUCAACGGAUAAAAGUUACUCUAGGAUAACAGGCUGAUCUCCCCCAAGAGUUCACAUCGACGGGGAGGUUUGGCACCUCGAUGUCGGCUCAUCGCAACCUGGGGCGGAAGUACGUCCCAAGGGUUGGGCUGUUCGCCCAUUAAAGCAGUACGUGAGCUGGGUUCAGAACGUCGUGAGACAGUUCGGUCCAUAUCCGAUGUAGGCGUGAGAAUAUUGAGAGGAGCCCUCCUUAGUACGAGAGGACCGGGAAGGACGCACCGCUGGUGUACCUGUUAUGAUGCCAAUUGUAAACGCAGGGUAGCCAAGUGCGGAGAGGAUAACCGCUGAAAGCAUCUAAGUGGGAAGCCCACCUCAAGAUGAGUAUUCUGGUGUAAGGUCACGGGAAGACGACCCGUAAAUAGGCACGAGGUGGAAGUGCAGAGAUGUAUGAAGCCGAAGUGUACUAAUAGACCGUCGGCUUGACC
rnacentral:rRNA from 1 species